rnacentral:rRNA from 1 species
UAAGAAUAUUCCGCAAUGGACGAAAGUCUGACGGAGCGACGCCGCGUGGAUGACGAAGGCCGAAAGGUUGUAAAAUCCUUUUGCUGAUGAAGAAUAAGUAUGGUAGGGAAUGACCGUAUGAUGACAUUAGUCGGUGAAUAAGCCCCGGCUAACUACGUGCCAGCAGCCGCGGUAACACGUAGGGGGCAAGCGUUGUUCGGAAUUAUUGGGCGUAAAGGGCAUGUAGGCGGUUUUGUAAGCCAGGUGUGAAAUCCUGCAGCUUAACUGUAGAAUUGCAUCGGGUACUGCAAGACUUGAAUCACAGAGGGGAAACUAGAAUUCCAGGUGUAGGGGUGGAAUCUGUAGAUAUCUGGAAGAAUACCGGUGGCGAAGGCGGGUUUCUAGCUGAUGAUUGACGCUGAGGUGCGAAAGUGCGGGGAGCAAAC